rnacentral:sRNA from 1 species
AAAAAAAGAACAAAAAA